AGAGAGAGAGAGGGAGGGAGGGAGGGAGGCGUCUCUUUCCCUCGUCGUUAUCCGGUCUCAAUCCGGUCCUUUGCUUUCCUUUCCCCCAAGCCGGGGGACGGAAACCCUAACGUACUUCUCUUGGGAAGCGCCGAGAUCCCCGAGUCGUCGGCAUUGCGUCUCCCGAAUCGCACUCCAUAUCACCGUACUGUGGCCCGAUCCGUCGCGGUUCCGCAGAUGAGUUCUGGUGUUGACGUUGGUGGCGGUUUCCAGAUUGCCUUGUUCUGGUUUUUAGUUUAAUUUCUUGGCAGAAUCUGACGAUUUGGUGGAGAUCGGGGUGGUAGUGGUUCUGACUGAUGCUUCCAGUGCUAUUUGCUGGGAUUGGGGCGAGAUGACGUCUGCUACGGCCGCGGUGCCGCCGUUCGAGCGCAAUCGAGCGGUAGCGUCGAACACGGUGUUUAAGAGUGGACCACUCUUCAUAUCAUCCAAAGGAAUUGGUUGGAAAUCAUGGAAGAAGCGUUGGUUCAUUCUCACGCGCACGUCUCUGGUUUUCUUUAAAAAUGAUCCUAGUGCACUACCACAGAGAGGUGGUGAAGUGAAUCUUACUUUAGGGGGUAUUGACCUAAACAAUUCUGGGAGUGUGGUGGUUAGGGAAGAUAAAAAGUUGCUGACUGUUUUGUUUCCUGAUGGACGUGAUGGGCGUGCAUUCACCCUUAAGGCAGAGACAUCAGAAGAUUUAUUUGAAUGGAAAACAGCACUAGAACAUGCUCUAUCACAAGCUCCAAAUGGUGUCCUUGUGAUGGGAGACAAUGGAAUAUUUCGUAAAGACAAUGCUGACACAUAUGAAGGAUCUGUGCAACACUGGAGAGAUAAGUGCCCGAUCAAGUCAUUGGUUGUUGGUAGACCAAUUUUGCUUGCACUGGAAGACAUUGAUGGAGGAUCUUCCUUCCUAGAAAAGGCUUUGUGCUUUCUAGAGAAGCAUGGAACAAAAGUUGAAGGAAUCUUGCGACAGUCAGCUGAUGUUGAAGAAGUUGAUCGAAGAGUUCAAGAGUAUGAGCAAGGGAGGACUGAAUUUGCAGCAGAUGAGGAUGCCCAUGUUGUUGGUGACUGUGUAAAGCAUGCUCUUCGGGAGCUACCAUCAUCUCCGGUUCCUGCAUCCUGUUGCACUGCAUUGCUGGAAGCCUAUAGACUUGAAGGGAAGGAAGCUUGCAUUAAUGCUAUGCGUUCUGCAAUUGCUGAGACAUUCCCAGAACCAAACCGGCGGUUGUUGCAGAGGAUUUUAAAAAUGAUGCACACAAUUGCCUCUCAUACUGCUAAGAACCGGAUGACUCCAUCUGCUGUUGCCGCUUGCAUGGCACCACUUUUGUUGCGCCCACUUUUGGCUGGUGAAUGUGAGAUGGAUGACUUUGAUAUGAAUGGUGACAGUUCUGCUCAGCUUCUGGCUGCAGCAAAUGCUGCUAACAAUGCUCAGGCCAUCAUCACAACUCUCUUAGAGGUGUACGAGAAUAUUUUUGAUGAUGAUAAUUUAGACAGAUGCUCUCUGUCUCAUGAUUCCCAAAUUGAAGAUAGUGGCAGUGAGGAAUCAACAGAUGAUGGAAAUGCUGGGGUGAAAGAUAAUGGAUAUCAUGAUGCAGAAAAUGAUGUAGAUCCAGAAGUGGAUGAUGAUCCUGAACGUGUACAUAGUGGAAAACUGAGUGAAAGCAGUGGAUAUUGUGGCAGCGACCUUUAUGAGUGCAAGGUCUUUGCUGGUGAUGACUCAGAUGCUGAGUCUCCUAAAGAUAAUCAAGAUUCAGCCACAAAUAUAGAGUUAACUAGAGGUUCCCAAGCUGAACUACAUGAGCAUGAUCCUGCAAAUAAAACUGUUGAUAACUCAAUGACCGAGAAGGAUACCUCUAGUGUGUUGCCUACACGCGAGUGUCCCCUAUCAAUGGGAGAGAUCCUGUCAUCCUUUGAUCGAGGAAUGUCUUUCCCAGGUCAGGUAGCUGAAUAUUGUUUGGAGAGGCAUCCAAGCAAACCAAAUGGAUCACACACACAAAUGAAGCGAACUAAUUUUUGGGGACGCAAUAAUGCCAGAAAGAAUCAAUCAGUGGAGUCAGUUGAUUCGUCUGGAGAAGAAGAGCUUGCUAUCCAAAGGCUUGAGAUCACAAAGAAUGACCUCCGGAUUAGGAUUGCAAAAGAGGCCAAAGGAAAUGCCAUUCUACAGGCAAGUCUGGAAAGGAGAAAACAGGCUUUGCAUGAACGACGCUUAGCUCUAGAGCAAGACGUCUCAAGGCUACAAGAGCAAUUACAAGCCGAGAGGGACCUUAGAGCUGCUCUGGAGGUUGGCUUGAACAUGUCUUCUGGACAGUUUUCUAGCUCACAUGCCAUGGACUCUAAGACAAGGGCAGAACUUGAGGAGAUUGCCCUUGCUGAGGCUGACGUUGCCAGGUUAAAACAGAAAGUUGCAGAACUCCAUCUGCAACUUAAUCAACAACGUCAAAAUCACUAUGGAUCUCUCUCUCGUGCAUGUGAUUACUGUCAGCACCUUCCGACCCAUCUCGCACAACAGAAGAUUAUUCAGAAAGAUUCUGAUAUGAGCCUUGCUUUCUGCAACCAUGAGAGGAAACAAAAAAGUGAGCCUCAUUACAGGAAAGCACGUCUGGAACAGAUUGGAGGAACUUUAAGCUGAAAGUGCUACCUUCCGACAAGCUUUCUUGGAGACAUUCUUUGGAGACAACUGCAAGCGAAUCAAAAGGUAUGGAGUCAUCAACAAGCAUGUCAUCAGAAACCAUUGCUGUUAUUGCUAAUGAUACUUCCAGAAUAACGGAGGGUAUGGAAUAUCAAAGGCAACCAUCAGUGGCAUCUUCUACAUUGGUGGAACUGACAACCCGGCUUGACUUCUUCAAAGAACGGAGAUCCCAACUCAUGGAACAAUUGCAUGGUCUUGAUUUGAGCCAUGGAGUAUCCUUGCAUGGAUUAGCAUACAAAUCCUCCCCUCCAUGGAACAGUCCAAGAUGAGAGAGACAUAUAUAACCACUUGUACAUCCUUUGUCUAUGUCAUCUGAUAUGUUCUAGUAUUUGGUUUCGACUCUGUGUAGGAGUUGAACCUUCUGGUGAAGUUCUUUUACCCUGUAAAGACUAGAGACCAACGUAAAUUUUGUCUCUCUAUUUCACUUUUCCCUUUCUGUCAUUUGUUCUGUGGAAACUGGAGUGAUUGGAUUAGCUGUAUUCUAUCAAGAAUGUCCAUGGAUUGCUCAUUUUAAACUCCUGUACCUUAUAACAAUGCUAUCAAGAAAGUUGCUCUAUGACAGGUAGUUUACAGGGAA